rnacentral:rRNA from 1 species
GUACGGGGGGGCAAGCGUUGUUCGGAAUUACUGGGCGUAAAGGGCGCGUAGGCGGCCUGCUAAGUCGGAUGUGAAAUCCCUCGGCUCAACCGAGGAACUGCAUCCGAUACUGGCGGGCUUGAAUCCGGGAGAGGGAUGUGGAAUUCCAGGUGUAGCGGUGAAAUGCGUAGAUAUCUGGAGGAACACCGGUGGCGAAGGCGGCAUCCUGGACCGGUAUUGACGCUGAGGCGCGAAAGCUAGGGGAGCAAACAGG